CAUUGUGAUACACUGUGAUGAGUAUACUAUCAGAAAUAACAAUAAGCACUAUGAGAAUAUGGAUAUAACAGUUUGAGUUAUUCACAAGAAGAUGAAGGUUUGCUGUAUUUCUGACAUGUUUUUUUAAAUGUGUUGGAUGUUUUCUGCUUCCUUUUUUGGAUCAUUUAUAUAUUAUUUCUCAACUUUUUUACUUAAUAUUUUACGUUCUGAAAUAUUUUAUAUAUUGAGAUAUGAUAUUAAAGCUUUUGAAUCUUCAUGUUUUCAUUAUAUUGUAUGUACUUCAGUAAUUCAUAGAAAUAUUGGAAUAUAUUUACUUAAAACCUAAUUUUUUAGAAAGAUAUUAUUUAAUUGACUAUUCUUACUUGCCAGGUACUUUCUAGAAUACUUAAUUUUAUUGUACUUUUCAUUAUUUACUGUUUAUAAUUUGGAGGUAAGACCAUUAGACCCAAAGAACUUUUGUCUUGGUGUGUUCUUGUUUAAAUAUGGAAUUUAUUUUACAAAAUAGUUUUGUUUUGUAUACAUGUCUAGUCUCAAGGGCGAAGUGAAAUCUUAAUGAGUCUACAGAAAGUUCUAAGUGGACUGGGUGGUGCAGCAGCUUCCUCCCAUCGUGAUAUUUAUAAGAAUGCCAGGUCUCUCUUGACUGAUAGGUCAAUGGCUGUUCGAUGUGCAGUGGCCAAGUGUCUACUAGAACUACAGAAUGAAGCUGUAUUUAUGUGGACUGCUGAACUAGAAAAUAUAGCCACUCUCU
rnacentral:sRNA from 1 species